rnacentral:rRNA from 1 species
UGGGGAAUAUUGGACAAUGGGGGAAACCCUGAUCCAGCGACGCCGCGUGGGUGAAGAAGGCCUGCGGGUUGUAAAGCCCUUUCGGUUGGGAAGAAAAGUUGCGACCUAACACGUCGCGACCUUGACGUAACCAACUAAAGAAGCACCGGCUAACUCUGUGCCAGCAGCCGCGGUAAUACAGAGGGUGCGAGCGUUAAUCGGAAUUACUGGGCGUAAAGCGCGCGUAGGCGGCUUGGCAAGUCGGGUGUGAAAUACCCGGGCUCAAGCUGGGAAGUGCAUUUGAGACUGCUUUGCUAGAGUAUGGGAGAGGGAAGUGGAAUUUCCGGUGUAGGUGUGAAAUGCGUAGAUAUCGGAAGGAACAUCAGUGGCGAAAUCGACUUCCUGGACCAAUACUGACGCUCAUGUGCGAAAGCGUGGGGAGCAAACA